GGGGGAAUAUUGCACAAUGGGGGAAACCCUGAUGCAGCGACGCCGCGUGAACGAAGAAGGUAUUCGUAUCGUAAAGUUCUGUCCUAUGGGAAGAUAAUGACAGUACCAUAGAAGAAAGCUCCGGCUAAAUACGUGCCAGCAGCCGCGGUAAUACGUAUGGAGCGAGCGUUGUCCGGAAUUAUUGGGCGUAAAGGGUACGCAGGCGGUUUAAUAAGUCGAAUGUUAAAGAUCGGGGCUCAACCCCGCAAAGCAUUGGAAACUGAUAAACUUGAGUAGUGGAGAGGAAAGUGGAAUUCCUAGUGUAGUGGUGAAAUACGUAGAUAUUAGGAGGAAUACCAGUAGCGAAGGCGACUUUCUGGACACAAACUGACGCUGCGGUACGAAAGCGUGGGGAGCAAACAGG
rnacentral:rRNA from 1 species